rnacentral:rRNA from 1 species
GAGUUCAAGAGUACGUGAAACUGCUUAGAGGUUAAGCCGAUGAACCUGAAUAUCCGUUAUGGAAAAUUCAUCACUAAUACUAUGAUAUUUAUAAUAUUAUAGAAAUGGUGUGCAAUUUUUCCAUAUAAGGACAUUGUAAUCUGUUAAUGUAUUAAAUAUUUAUUAAAAGAUCUUAUACUUAAGUUUAUUCAAAUUAGUUAUUUUCGGAUUUCUAACAUAGAAUAAAUGUAUUUGAUUUAAUAAAUCAUUGACAGAUUUUAUUAUAAUAUAGUGCUCAAAUUUUGAACGAAAUUUUACAAUAAUAUGAUAAUUCAAUUUGUUAUAUUUAUUGUAUGCGCUUAUAUGAUUAACAAUGCGAUAGAUUCAGGAUACCUUCGGGACCCGUCUUGAAACACGGACCAAGGAGUCUAACAUAUGUGCAAGUCAUUGGGUAUUUUUAAUAAAACCCAAUGGCAUAAUUAACUUAACUGUUUUUUAAAUGGGAUUAGUUUAUAUUUUAUUAUGAAAUAUUAAUUCAAUCCCGGGGCGUUCUAUAUAGUUAUGCAUAAUGAUAUUUAUAUUAUUUAUGUCUCUAACU